UCAGUAACCACGUAGUCAACAAGCCCCAGAGGACGUGGAUAACCUCGGGAAACUGAGUCUAAACCGCGAUAAGUGAGGAUUUCUGGAAUGGUUCCUGACUAAAAUCUAUAUGGCCUCUGGAUUGGACUGCGGCCGAUCAGGCUCUUGGUGAGGUAAUGGCCCACCAAACCUGUAACCGGUACGGGCUCUGAGAGGAGGAGCCCGGAGAUGGGCACUGAGACAAGGGCCCAGGCCCUAUGGGGCGCAGCAGGCGCGAAACCUCUGCAAUAGGCGAAAGCCUGACAGGGUUACUCUGAGUCACUUUCGCUAAGAAAGUCUUUUGGCACCUCUAAAAAGGGUGCAGAAUAAGGGGUGGGCAAGUCUG
rnacentral:rRNA from 1 species